CGCCGGCGAAAGCAGGAAGCGAGGCCGGCUCUGGUAGAGACGCCGGGGCAGCGGAGCGAGGAAGAUCUCAAGUAAAUGCCCAACAUGCCUCACCGGACCAUUCAUCUCUUCCGGAAGGGACUUCGGCUCCAUGACAACCCAACUCUGCUGGCUGCACUGGAGUCCUCAGAGGUUGUGUAUCCAGUCUACAUUCUGGAUAGAAAGUUCCUGAUGUCUGCAAUGAAUAUGGGAACUCUACGCUGGCACUUCCUGCUGCAGUCCCUCGAGGAUCUGCAGAGGAACCUAACUAAACUGGGCUCUUGCUUACUGGUUAUUCAAGGAGAGUAUAAGUUGGUUCUUCGAGACCAUAUUAAAAAGUGGAACAUUAACCAGGUGACUCUAGAUGCUGAGAUUGAACCAUUUUACAAAGAGAUGGAGAGGACCAUACAAGUUCUGGGCAGAGAGAUGGGAUUUGAUGUGCUUUCUUUGAGGGGGCACACGCUUUAUGACAUCAGACGGAUCUUGGACAUGAAUGGUGGGACUCCCCCCUUGACAUACAAAAGAUUUCUUCAUAUCCUCUCUGUACUCGGGGACCCUGACAUGCCUGUACGAAACCUUACAACUGAGGAUUUCCAGAGAUGUAAGCCUGCCCCUGAGCUGCACCUGGCUGAAUGUUACAGGGUGCCCCUUCCUGAGGAUUUGGAAAUCUCCCGAGACAGCCAGUCCCCGUGGAGAGGGGGAGAAACUGAAGGACUGCAGCGACUAGAGCAACACUUGAAAAAUCAGGGCUGGAUAGCAAAUUUUACUAAACCAAAAACAAUUCCAAAUUCUCUGCUUCCAAGUACUACAGGACUGAGUCCCUAUUUCAGCUUGGGUUGUUUGUCAGUUCGGAGUUUUUUUUAUAGACUAUCAAACAUUUAUGCUCAGUCAAAAAACCACUCUCUGCCACCUGUGUCACUUCAAGGACAGCUUCUGUGGAGAGAAUUCUUCUAUACAGUGGCAUCAGCAACACCAAACUUUACCAAAAUGGCGGGAAACCCCAUUUGCCUUCAGAUCAACUGGUACCAAGAUGCAGAGAGACUCCACAAGUGGAGAAUGGCUCAGACAGGGUUUCCAUGGAUUGAUGCUAUCAUGACGCAGCUUCAUCAGGAAGGUUGGAUUCACCACCUUGCUCGACAUGCUGUUGCCUGCUUCCUAACUCGAGGAGACCUCUGGAUCAGCUGGGAAGAGGGCAUGAAGGUGUUUGAAGAGAUGCUGUUAGAUGCAGACUACAGCAUCAAUGCAGGAAACUGGAUGUGGCUGUCAGCCAGUGCUUUCUUCCAUCAGUACACACGCAUUUUCUGCCCGGUGCGCUUUGGCAAACGCACAGAUCCAGAAGGGCAAUAUAUCCGAAAAUACCUCCCAGUGCUAACGAAUUUUCCUUCCAAGUACAUCUACGAACCUUGGACAGCACCAGAAGAGGCACAGAAGCAGGCAGGAUGUAUUAUAGGUCAAGAUUAUCCACUCCCUAUGCUAAACCACAAGGAAGCCAGUGACCAUAAUCUGCAACUCAUGAAACAGGUCAGAGAAGAACAGUAUGGAACAGCACAGCUCACAAGAGAUGACGUGGAUGAUCCAAUGGAAAUGGGGCUAAAGCGUGAACGCCCUGAAGAAAAUUCAAAACAAGGAAAACGUGCCAGGAACAGAGAACAGACAUAGAUUCUUUUCUGACUUAUGCAAGAGUCCACAGAACAAUCCACCAUCAUGCAUGGUGUCCUCUGGGACAACUCCUUGAGGGACUGGUGGGAAGGGCAACUCCAGCGCAGUCUGGCAUCUCCAAAUUCCUUCAUCCCAAAGAGCCCAUGAACCUAGUACGAAAAUGGCAUGAAUCAUGACAAUCAACAGGCCAUGGAGAGAGGACCAUUUGGCUGAGGAGGAUGAGCCCAUUCUGCCUGGGAACCAGGAGCAGCAGCCCAAGGACAGUAGGAGCAGAGGGAGUACACUUGAGGACCUGCUCAUUGGCAUUGCCAGGAGUCAGAAGCAAUUUGACUUUAUGAGAGGAAGGGAGGAAUGGGCUGCUGAGUGGGAGGAACAUUUUCACCAGAGGCAGGAGUCAAUAAUGGAGCAGGACACUCGGUAAAGGGAACAGGAGCUUUAUCAAAGGGACCGGAAGCAUGUCCUGUUGCAGACCCAGGUACAAGUGGUAGUGGAAAGGAUUCAGUCCUGCCUGCCACAAUAGCCACUGCCAAUGUCUGGGAACUGGCACCUCCUCCUCAUCCACCAUAUAUUCCUCCUCCAGCAACUGCAGCGCAGGGUACUGCUGAGAUGGAGGAUUCAAACCCCACCCCCAGUGACAAGACAGGGGCUGCAGGACUCCAGGCACAGCAGCCUGCACUGGCACCCAGAGCCCCUACUAGGAGAAGCCCUGUGACCAUGUAGGAGGGGAACAAUGAGCCUGACUGAGACUGCGCCUGAAGGCUGUUGUGUGUCUCACUCCCAAACCACAUGCAAGAGAUGCCUCCUGUUUGUCCCCCUGGACUCAAUAGCGUAGUUGGGGGGGGAGCAGGGGAGCGGCCACUCCCUACUGAGCACAUUCCCCAAAAGUGGCACGUUUUUAAUUUUUACACACACCGCAGCAGUCCGGGUCUUCGGCGGCAAUUUGGCAGCAGAUCCUUCAGCUGCUCCA